UUUGAUCAUGGCUCAGAUUGAACGCUGGCGGCAUGCUUUACACAUGCAAGUCGAACGGCAGCACGGGCUUCGGCCUGGUGGCGAGUGGCGAACGGGUGAGUAAUGCAUCGGAACGUACCGUGUAAUGGGGGAUAACGUAGCGAAAGUUACGCUAAUACCGCAUACGCCCUGAGGGGGAAAGUGGGGGACCGCAAGGCCUCACGUUAUACGAGCGGCCGAUGUCGGAUUAGCUAGUUGGUGGGGUAAAGGCCUACCAAGGCGACGAUCCGUAGCGGGUCUGAGAGGAUGAUCCGCCACACUGGGACUGAGACACGGCCCAGACUCCUACGGGAGGCAGCAGUGGGGAAUUUUGGACAAUGGGCGCAAGCCUGAUCCAGCCAUGCCGCGUGAGUGAAGAAGGCCUUCGGGUUGUAAAGCUCUUUCAGGUGGAAAGAAAUCGCACUUUCUAAUACAAGGUGUGGAUGACGGUACCAUCAGAAGAAGCACCGGCUAACUACGUG
rnacentral:rRNA from 1 species